UACGGGGGGGGGCAAGCGUUGUUCGGAAUUACUGGGCGUAAAGGGCUCGUAGGCGGCCAACUAAGUCGGACGUGAAAUCCCCAGGCUCAACCUGGGAACUGCGUCCGAUACUGGAUGGCUUGAAUCCGGGAGAGGGAUGCAGAAUUCCAGGUGGAGCGGUGAAAUGCGUUGAUAUCGAUAGGAACUCCGGUGGCGAAGGCGGCAUACUGGACCACCUCUGACGCUGAGGCGCGAAAGCCAGGGGAGCAAACGGG
rnacentral:rRNA from 1 species